rnacentral:piRNA from 1 species
CUGAGGUUCAUGCUGAGGCAGAUUCUC